ensembl:lncRNA
ACACAUCUUCCUUCUUUUCCUCCCCCUCUCACAGAAGGUCGCCCUGGCGUCCUAGGGAAAGGGUGGGUCAGAACAACAUACACGAAAUAAUCCAGUCACGCAAACACACAGAUCACAAAAUCAUUAGCGAUCCCUGCAAGACCUUUCACGAGGUCAUCUCACCAACCCUCUACUUGAAGGCAGGUCCAAACUUUGAACCAUCCACAACCUUAAAGAGCAAAGAAAAGAAGCAAUCAUAGGGAAUGCAGAAAAGUUACAAACCGAGGCAGCUAACACCUGGGGGAAACGCUGCGGUUGAUCAAAGAU